GAUGAACGCUGGCGGCGUGCCUAAUACAUGCAAGUCGAGCGAACAGAUAAGGAGCUUGCUCCUUUGAAGUUAGCGGCGGACGGGUGAGUAACACGUGGGUAACCUACCUAUAAGACUGGGAUAACUUCGGGAAACCGGAGCUAAUACCGGAUAACAUUUAGAACCGCAUGGUUCUAAAGUGAAAGAUGGUUUUGCUAUCACUUAUAGAUGGACCCGCGCCGUAUUAGCUAGUUGGUAAGGUAAAGGCUUACCAAGGCGACGAUACGUAGCCGACCUGAGAGGGUGAUCGGCCACACUGGAACUGAGACACGGUCCAGACUCCUACGGGAGGCAGCAGUAGGGAAUCUUCCGCAAUGGGCGAAAGCCUGACGGAGCAACGCCGCGUGAGUGAUGAAGGGUUUCGGCUCGUAAAACUCUGUUAUUAGGGAAGAACAAAUGUGUAAGUAACUGUGCGCAUCUUGACGGUACCUAAUCAGAAAGCCACGGCUAACUACGUG
rnacentral:rRNA from 1 species